GAUGAACGCUGGCCGCGUGCUUAACACAUGCAAGUCGAACGGUGAAGGCGGAGCUUGCUCUGCUGGAUCAGUGGCGAACGGGUGAGUAACACGUGAGCAAUCUGCCCCUGACUCUGGGAUAAACGCUGGAAACGGCGUCUAAUACUGGAUACGAGCUGCGACGGCAUCUUCAGCAGCUGGAAAUAACUUCGGUCAGGGAUGGGCUCGCGGCCUAUCAGCGUGUUGGUGAGGUAACGGCUCACCAAGGAGUCGACGGGUAGCCGGCCUGAGAGGGUGACCGGACAAACCGGGAAUGAGGACAUGCCCAGAAUGGUCCGGGAGGAAGCAGUGGGGAAUAUUGACAGAUGGGAGAAAAAGUGAUGCAGCAACGGCGAGUGCGGGACAAUGGCCGUAGGGUUGUCACACCCUUUUAGCAGGGAAGAAGCGACAGGGAAGGGAGGUGCAGGAAAAGCGCCAGGUAGGUACGUG
rnacentral:rRNA from 1 species